UACGUAGGGUGCGAGCGUUUGCCGGAAUUAUUGGGCGUAAAGGGCUCGUAGGCGGUUUGUCGCGUCGGGAGUGAAAUCCACUGGCUUAACUGGUGGCUUGCUUUCGAUACGGGCAGACUGGAGGUAUGCAGGGGGAGAACGGAAUUCCUGGUGUAGCGGUGAAAUGCGCAGAUAUCGGGAAGAACACCCGUGGCGAAGGCGGCUGCUCUGGGACGGUACCUGGA
rnacentral:rRNA from 1 species